AGCAUGAACAGUGUAGAACUCGGCAUUGCUGUACAGGGUAGGUGAUAUUGAACCGUGUAGAGCUGGGUAUUGCUUUACAGGAUAGGUAAUAUUGAACUGUGUAGAGCUGGGUAUUGCUGUACAGAGUAGGUAAUAUUGAACAGUGUAGAGCUAGUUAUUGCUGUACAGGGUAGGUAAUAUUGAUCUGUGUAGAGCUGGGUAUUGCUGUACAGGGUAGGUAAUAUUGAACAGUGUAGAGCUGGGUAUUGCUUUACAGGGUAGGUAAUAUUGAACAGUGUAGAGCUGGGUAUUGCUUUACAUGGUUGGUAAUAUUGAACAGUGUAGAGCUAGUUAUUGCUGUACAGGGUAGGUAAUAUUGAACAGUGUAGAGCUGGGUAUUGCUGUACAGAGUAGGUAAUAUUGAACAGUGUAGAGCUAGUUAUUGCUGUACAGGGUAGGUAAUAUUGAACAGUG